rnacentral:lncRNA from 1 species
ACGAGCCGCGCGCGACGCCGGCGGGGGCGGGGCCUCGGUCGGACCGCGUCGCUUUCCCCGGCCCGGCGGGCGCCGCUCUGCUGCGGCAGCGGCUCGGCUCGGCUCGGCUCGGCUCGGCUCGGCUCUUCAUGCAAUACAACAGCUACGAGCACUGAGAUGAUGUGUGCAAGGAAUCAGAAGUGAAGCAAGAAGCUGAUGGAAGCCCAGAGUUAAAAUCUGAACAGGAUGUACCAGAGACCUCUUCAGCAGCAACUGCUGAAAGAUCUACAUUUGAUCUGGAGCAGUUCCAGCAGCGCUUGUAUAUGUAUGCUACCAAGAUGUCUGAGUACACCUACCCUGUCUACAGAGCAAGAUGUUUUUGCAGUGAUUGAUUACAACAUGCAUUUGAACCGGCAAACUGCACARUCAGCAAAAUCAGUUAAUGCACCAAGACAAGGAGGCUGAUCCCAGAGUCAAUGAGAUUCCUUUGGGUUCAAGGAACUUAUGCUGGUCUGCUAAUUUGCUGCAUGGAAAUACAGAUGGGGCAAGCAAUUGUUUCUUCCUUCUCCUUUGUUAUAG